GACGAACGCUGGCGGCGUGCUUAACACAUGCAAGUCGAACGGAAAGGCCCUGCUUGCCGGGUACUCGAGUGGCGAACGGGUGAGUAACACGUGGGUGAUCUGCCCUGCACUUCGGGAUAAGCCUGGGAAACUGGGUCUAAUACCGGAUAGGAGCCAUUUUUAGUGUGAUGGUUGGAAAGUUUUUUCGGUGUAGGAUGAGCUCGCGGCCUAUCAGCUUGUUGGUGGGGUAAUGGCCUACCAAGGCGGCGACGGGUAGCCGGCCUGAGAGGGUGGACGGCCACAUUGGGACUGAGAUACGGCCCAGACUCCUACGGGGGGCAGCAGUGGGGAAUAUUGCACAAUGGGCGCAAGCCUGAUGCAGCGACGCCGCGUGGGGGAUGACGGCCUUCGGGUUGUAAACUCCUUUCGCUAGGGACGAAGCUUUUUGUGACGGUACCUAGAGAAGAAGCACCGGCUAACUACGUG
rnacentral:rRNA from 1 species